CUACGGGGGGCACCAGUGAGGAAUAUUGCACAAUGGGGGAAACCCUGAUGCAGCAACGCCGCGUGGAGGAUGACGCAUUUCGGUGUGUAAACUCCUUUUAUCAGAGAAGAAAAUGACGGUAUCUGAUGAAUAAGCUCCGGCUAACUCCGUGCCAGCAGCCGCGGUAAUACGGAGGGAGCAAGCGUUAUUCGGAAUCACUGGGCGUAAAGGACGCGUAGGCGGGUUUUUAAGUCAGGUGUGAAAUCCUAUGGCUCAACCAUAGAACUGCACUUGAAACUGGGGACCUAGAGUAUGGAAGGGGCAGGUGGAAUUAGUGGUGUAGGGGUAAAAUCCGUAGAUAUCACUAGGAAUACCGAAAGCGAAGGCGACCUGCUGGGACAUUACUGACGCUGAGGCGUGAAAGCGUGGGGGGCAAACAGGAUUAGAUACCCCGGUAGUC
rnacentral:rRNA from 1 species